rnacentral:rRNA from 1 species
CCUACGGGGGGCUGCAGUGGGGAAUAUUGCACAAUGGGCGCAAGCCUGAUGCAGCCAUGCCGCGUGUGUGAAGAAGGCCUUCGGGUUGUAAAGCACUUUCAGCGGGGAGGAAGGCGGUGAGGUUAAUAACCUCAUCGAUUGACGUUACCCGCAGAAGAAGCACCGGCUAACUCCGUGCCAGCAGCCGCGGUAAUACGGAGGGUGCAAGCGUUAAUCGGAAUUACUGGGCGUAAAGCGCACGCAGGCGGUCUGUCAAGUCGGAUGUGAAAUCCCCGGGCUCAACCUGGGAACUGCAUUCGAAACUGGCAGGCUAGAGUCUUGUAGAGGGGGGUAGAAUUUCAGGUGUAGCGGUGAAAUGCGUAGAGAUCUGGAGGAAUACCGGUGGCGAAGGCGGCCCCCUGGACAAAGACUGACGCUCAGGUGCGAAAGCGUGGGGAGCAAACAGGAUUAGAUACCCUUGUAGUC